UUUCCGUAGGUGAACCUGCGGAAGGAUCAUUAACACAACUUUACCCAAUCUUUUAUCACACACCCCAAAGCGAACGAUUGUUUGGAGAUCGAGUUUCGACUCUUUUUCCGCAUUUUUCUCUUCUUCCUUUUUUCACAAACCCCAAUUUAACACUUCCGACUGAAACUAAAAAACAAAAAAACAAAACAACUAAGAAACAACUCUUAGCAACGGAUAUCUUGGCUCUCGCAUCGAUGAGAACGCAGC
rnacentral:misc_RNA from 1 species